rnacentral:rRNA from 1 species
UGGCUCAGGACGAACGCUGGCGGCGUGCCUAACACAUGCAAGUCGAACGGGGAUUUGUUUCGGCAGAAUCCUAGUGGCGAACGGGUGAGUAACGCGUAGGCAACCUGCCCUCCGCCGGGGGACAACACUCCGAAAGGGGUGCUAAUACCGGAUACGAAGUCUGUGCCGCAUGGUACGGAUUUGAAAGAUGGCCUCUAUUUAUAAGCUAUCGCCGGGGGAUGGGCCUGCGUCCGAUUAGCUGGUUGGUGGGUAACGGCCUACCAAGGCGACGAUCGGUAGCCGGUCUGAGAGGAUGAACGGCCACAUUGGGACUGAGACACGGCCCAGACUCCUACGGGAGGCAGCAGUGGGGAAUCUUCCGCAAUGGGCGCAAGCCUGACGGAGCAACGCCGCGUUGAGUGAGGAAGUUCUUCGGAACGUAAAGCUCUGUUGUUCCUGACGAACCUCCCCUCUAUCAACAACGGAGGGGACUGACGGUAGGGAACGAGGAAGCCACGGCUAACUACGUGCCAGCCGCCGC